rnacentral:rRNA from 1 species
UACGUAGGGACCAAGCGCUGUCCGGAAUUAUUGGGCGUAAAGGGCUCGUAGGCGGUUUGUCGCGUCGGGAGUGAAAUCAUCUGGCUUAACUGGGUGCUUGCUUUCGAUACGGGCAGACUAGAGGUAUGCAGGGGAGAACGGAAUUCCUGGUGUAGCGGUGAAAUGCGCAGAUAUCAGGAGGAACACCGGUGGCGAAGGCGGUUCUCUGGGCAUGAUCUGACGCUGAGGAGCGAAAGUGUGGGGAGCGAACAGG